UGACCAGCGGAGGGAUCAUUACCGAGUUUACAACUCCCAAACCCAAUGUGAACCAUACCAAACUGUUGCCUCGGCGGGGUCACGCCCCGGGUGCGUCGCAGCCCCGGAACCAGGCGCCCGCCGGAGGGACCAACCAAACUCUUUACUGUAGUCCCCUCGCGGACGUUAUUUCUUACAGCUCUGAGCAAAAAAUUCAAAAUGAAUCAAAACUUUCAACAACGGAUCUCUUGGUUCUGGCAUCGAUGAAGAACGCAGCGAAAUGCGAUAAGUAAUGUGAAUUGCAGAAUUCAGUGAAUCAUCGAAUCUUUGAACGCACAUUGCGCCCGCCAGUAUUCUGGCGGGCAUGGGGCGUGCCUGUCCGAGCGUCAUUUCAACCCUCGAACCCCUCCGGGGGGUCGGCGUUGGGGAUCGGGAACCCCUCAGACGGGAUCCCGGCCCCGAAAUACAGUGGCGGUCUCGCCGCAGCCUCUCCUGCGCAGUAGUUUGCACAACUCGCACCGGGAGCGCGGCGCGUCCACGUCCGUAAAACACCCAACUUUCUGAAAUGUUGACCUCGGAUCAGGUAGGAAUACCCGCUGAACUUAAGCAUAUCAAUA
rnacentral:rRNA from 1 species